CGGCGCGCGGUCUCGGCAGUCGCCGAACUUCACUGUCAACUGACGUCUGCUGGGCUUGACUAGGGAAAAAGCUCCCUCUGGGCUGCCAGAGUGCCCGAAUUGGGUGCUGCAAAGUGCCCCAGCGCCUGCCGGACAAAUGGAAGGAAAGAUUUUUGGAAGCAGCUUCUUGUGUCCGACCCGCUGUGAUCAGCUGCUACUCCCAGGUCUG
rnacentral:lncRNA from 1 species